rnacentral:rRNA from 1 species
CUAAUCUGCCCUUGGGACGAGAACAACCCCGGGAAACUGGGGCUAAUUCUCGAUAGGUGAAGAACUCUGGAAUGAGUCUUCGCUUAAAAAGCUUCACGUUAUGCUCGUGAAGUCGCCCAAGGAUGAGGCCGCGACCGAUCAGGUUGUUGGUGAGGUAAUGGCUCACCAAGCCUUUUACCGGUGCGGGCCGUGAGAGCGGGAGCCCGGAGAUGGGCACUGAGACAAGGGCCCAGGCCCUACGGGGCGCAGCAGUCGCGAAAACUUUGCAAUACACGAAAGUGUGACAGGGCUAUCCCGAGUGCCAUCCGCUGAGGAAGGCUUUUACCCAGUAUAGAUCGCUGGGGGAAUAAGGAGAGGGCGAGUCUGGUGUCAGCCGCCGCGGUAAUACCAGCUCUCCGAGUGGUGUGGAUGUUUAUUAGGCCUAAAGCAUCCGUAGCUGGCUAAGUUAGUCCCUUGUUAAAUCCACCGAAUUAAUCGUUGGAUUGCGGGGGAUACUGCUUGGCUAGGGGACGAGAGAGGCAGACGGUAUUUCCGGGGUAGGGGUGAAAUCCUAUAAUCCCGGGAAGACCACCAGUGGCGAAGGCUGUCUGCUAGAACGCGCCCGACGGUGAGGGAUGAAAGCUGGGGGAGCGAACCGGAUUAGAUACCCGGGUAGUCCCAGCUGUAAACGAUGCAGGCUAGGUGUUUGGACGGCCACGUGCCGUUCUAGUGCCGCAGGGAAGCUGUUAAGCCUGCCGCCUGGGGAGUACGAUCGCAAGAUUGAAACUUAAAGGAAUUGGCGGGGGAGCACCACAAGGGGUGAAGCUUGCGG